rnacentral:lncRNA from 1 species
UCACCUUUACCAACACCAAGGGAGCCAGCCCUGAGAGUUCAUGCCAAGUCAUCUUUCUCCUGCUUUGUUCCCUGGAACUGAUAAACUGCUGCUUCGAAAAACCAGAAGGCCUUGCCUCUAUUUUGUUUUCAGUUCUACUCCCUAAGAGCCUCAGCAUAAAUAUGAGAGGAGAUAAAGGGAAAGUUAAGAAACUUCUGUUAGCAUUCUGAUGUUCAAACCCAAGUCUUGAUCUUCCUGUUGAGGGCCAUCCAAGAGCACCAUGAUGAAGUGGAAAGAGAUUGUUCACAAGAAUGAUCACUUACAGAAGACUGAGCCCAAGGCCCUUGCUGAUGGAUUCCCAGACUUAUAUGCAUCCGAGAUUGAAGAACUUAAACAUCUUGCCCUUGCCAUGACCACAAAUCAGAGAGUAAUAAAAUUUAAUGUCCAUGGACUUUGACCUUCAAAAGACCAAAGACAGGCUGUUUCAAGAACGCGGUCUUGAACAAUUUGUUGACAUCUUCACAAAAGAAAAAUAAUUCUCUAAAUCAGUAACUGAGUCUCCGGAAGGUUUCUUCUUGGAAACCCCCACAUAGUCUCAUGAGCACCUACAAUGACAGAAAGGGAAGCCGGAGUGCCUACACUUUUUAUCUAGCCUCCCUUGCAAAUACAGAUGACUAUGUCACAUACUUCUGGCCACAGAGACUGAAGCAGAGGUCUGCUGGGGGACCUUCUGGAAAACAUAUGCUUCACUGAUAAAAGGGACAGAUAGAGUUUAUUGAUAUCUUACAGCUAACAUUAUAAUUAAUGAGGGAAAACAGAAAGUCCACUAAAAUCCAGUACAAGACAAGGAUGUCCACUCUUGUCACUUCUAUUCAACAUACUGCUAAAUUUAGAGAAUGAAGAGAAAACUUCUAAGAUGUUCGUAGAAUGCUUCAGGGAAGAGGUUUGAUAAUGAGCUGUUCAUGAAAGAUUGAACUCAUGAAACUGGGGAUAAGGAAGACAGUCUCGGAGGGGAAAAUGGCACAAGCAAACGUGUGGAGGAAAUGCAAGUGUGAAGAAUGGGCAUCACCAAUUCUUACAUGAGUGAUCACCUCAGGGUGUGUCAACUUACCUUGGGCUUCUGCAAAACAGUCAAGAAAACUGCUUUUUAUUAUUUUCUGUUUUCUGAAUCAGCAACUCUGUCACAAGCUAGAAGUCCCUGUAUUAUUCUUCAUUCUAUUACUUUUCAUGUAAGACUUGAAAACUCUUGGGAGCCUUGGUCUACUAAUUCAUAUGUCAUGUUUGAGUUACAUUUUAGAAAUAGCAAAUACACUUGAGGCAAACAGGCCCUAGUUUUGUUUUGUUUGUCUUCUCCUCACUGAAAUUAAAUUAAAAUCUAUACCUUUCCUCUGA